UACGUAGGGUGCGAGCGUUGUCCGGAAUUACUGGGCGUAAAGAGCUCGUAGGUGGUUUGUCGCGUUGUCCGUGAAAACUCACAGCUUAACUGUGGGCGUGCGGGCGAUACGGGCAGACUGGAGUACUGCAGGGGAGACUGGAAUUCCUGGUGUAGCGGUGAAAUGCGCAGAUAUCGGGAGGAACACCAGUGGCGAAGGCGACUACCUGGCCUGUUCUUGACGCUGAGGCGCGAAAGCUAGGGGAGCAAACGGG
rnacentral:rRNA from 1 species